UUUAGCUCUAUAUUGUUCGUAUCGUCAUCCAGCCACAUCUCGGUGAAACAUAAGAUAUUACAGUAUCUAAUGUCCCGUUGGUAGGAUAAUCUUAAUAGUAGGUUAUCAAUUUUCCUUUCCAAUGAUUGCACGUUAGCAAGAAGAAUGGAAGGCAUUGGGAGUUUACUCGCUCGCCUCCGGAUUCUCAGAAGGUACCCCGAUCUGCGUCCCCUUUUCCGAUGUCUUUUCUUCACGCAAAAGGCGUGGAUCUGGGACUGUUCCGGUGAAAGCAGGAUAUCAUUCUCAUCAGAGAAAACCAUUACAGAAUCACCCACCACAACAGGACUAAGCGCCGUGGUGACAGGCAGCGACAGCAGGAGCAGCGAAAUAAAGACUUCUGGACUUGGGAAGAAAUCCUCGAUGGGAGAGGACCCUGGGCAAAGCCAGGGGAGUGUCACUGCCCCAAGGUGCAGCAGGAGAAGCGGCAGCAGGAGCAGCGCGAGGAGGAAUGGACAUGGGAGGACGAAUUGGAUGGAAAAGGACCCUGGGCACAGCCAGGAGAAUAUCGUGGCCCCAAAGAAGAGCUGGAGGCGGCAAAGGUGGAGAGGUGCUGGUAUGAGGAAGCAGCACGGCGGCGUGGAUGGAAGCCCGAGAGUCAGCCCCAAAAAUGUAUUGGGGGGGCACACAGGAAGUGUGGCGAAGCCAGGUAGGAGACCUGCGCCAACUUCCUGUGCUUACCGGGGGGCGAGAGAGACCGGGCAGGCACCGUGUUAUGCAUAGCCCGGUGCGGGUACAUACCAGCUCCGCGUAUCGGCCGGGCUAGAGUGAGCAUCGAGCCAAGUGCCAUGAAGCCGGCUCUACGCAUCUGGUCCCCACUGCGUCUCCUUGGGCCGGCUUACAUGGCACCAGCCUUGCGCACGGGGUCCCCGGUUCGCCUGCAUAGCCCAGUGUGGGCUAUUCCACCUCGCCGCACUGGCAGGGCGACCGGGAGCAUUCAACCGGAAAUUGAUAAUAAGAAGAUUGUGGGAGUUGUACUGUUAGAUUUCAGUGCAGCCUUUGAUAUUAUUGAACAUAAUCUGUUGUUGAAAAAACUUAAGUGCUAUGGCUUUUCAACCUCUGCCAUAUCGUGGAUUCAGAGCUAUCUAUCUAAUAGAACUCAAAGGGUUUUCUUUAAUGGAAGCAUCUUGUCAAACAUGUAAAGUGUGGUGUACCGCAGGGCAGCUCUCUAAGCCCUCUAUUCUUUUCUAUUUUGACCAAUGACCUGUCACUGGCAUUAAACAAAGUAUGUGUGUCCAUGUAUGCUGAUGAUUCAACCAUAUACGCAUCAGCAACCACAGCUAAUGAAGUCACUGAAACCCUUAACAAAGAGUUGCAGUCUGUUUUUGGAAUGGGUGGCCAGUAAUAUACUGGUCCUGAACAUCUCUAAAACUAAGAGCAUUGUAUUUGGUACAAUAUUGCCUAAGUUCUAGACCUCAGCUGAAUCUGGUAAUGAAUGGAGUGGCUGUUGAACAAGUUGAGGAGACUCAAUUACUUGGCGAUAACUUAGAUUGUAAACUGUCAUGGUCAAAACAUAUAGAUUCAGUGGUUGCAAAGAUGGGGAGAGGUCUAGCCGUAAUAAAGAGAUGCUCUGCUUUUUUGACACCACACUCCAAAAAGCAAGUUCUGCAGGCUCUAGUUUUGUCUAAUCUUGAUUAUUGUCCAGUCGUGUGGUCCAGUACUGCAAGAAAAGACCUUGUUAAGCUGCAGCUGGCCCAGAACAGAGCGGCACGUUUUGCUCUUAAUUGUAAUUAGAGGGCUGAUAUAAAUACUAUACAUGCCAGUCUCUCUUGGCUAAGAGUUGAGGAGAGACUGACUGCAUCACUUCUUCUUUUCAUAAGAAACAUGAUUGAUGUGUAAGAAUGUGUGUGAUGUGAUGAUGUGUUGAAAAUCCCAAUUUGUUUGCAUUGUCAAUUUACACACAGCUCUGACACACACACUUAUCCCACCAGACAUGCCACCAGGGGUCUUUUCAUAGUCCCCAAAUCCAGAAAAAAUUCAAGAUAACGUACAGUAUUAUGUAGAGCCCUUAUUGCAUGGAACUUCCUUCCAUCUCAUAUUGCUCAAAUAAACAGCAAACCUGGUUUCAAAAAACAGAUAAAGCAACACCUCACGGCAGAACGCCUCUACCCUAUUUGACCUAGAUAGUUUGUGUGUAUGCAUUGAUAUGUAGGCUACAUGUGCC
ensembl:lncRNA